CCUACGGGGGGCAGCAGUGGGGAAUAUUGGGCAAUGGGCGCAAGCCUGACCCAGCAACGCCGCGUGAAGGAAGAAGGCUUUCGGGUUGUAAACUUCUUUUCUCAGGGACGAAGAAAGUGACGGUACCUGAGGAAUAAGCCACGGCUAACUACGUGCCAGCAGCCGCGGUAAUACGUAGGUGGCAAGCGUUAUCCGGAUUUACUGGGUGUAAAGGGCGUGUAGGCGGGAAAGCAAGUCAGAUGUGAAAAUUAUGGGCUCAACCCAUAACCUGCAUUUGAAACUGUAGUUCUUGAGUGAUGGAGAGG
rnacentral:rRNA from 1 species